rnacentral:tRNA from 14 species
GCUGAUUUAGUAUAAUGGCUAUUACUCCGGUUUUGUAACCCGGGAAUGGGAGUUCGACUCUCUCAAUCAGCA